GUUUUUAUAAUUUAUAUAGAAUAUAACUUUGAAGCAGUUAAAGAAGUUUUUACUUUUGGACAU
rnacentral:tRNA from 1 species